AUGAACGCUGGUGGCGUGCCUAAUACCUGCAAGUCGAGCGCACAGACGAGGAGCUUGCUCCUCUGACGUUAGCGGCGGACGGGUGAGUAACACGUGGAUAACCUACCUAUAAGACUGGGAUAACUUCGGGAAACCGGAGCUAAUACCGGAUAAUAUAUUGAACCGCAUGGUUCAAUAGUGAAAGACGGUUUUGCUGUCACUUAUAGAUGGAUCCGCGCCGCAUUAGCUAGUUGGUAAGGUAACGGCUUACCAAGGCAACGAUGCGUAGCCGACCUGAGAGGGUGAUCGGCCACACUGGAACUGAGACACGGUCCAGACUCCUACGGGAGGCAGCAGUAGGGAAUCUUCCGCAAUGGGCGAAAGCCUGACGGAGCAACGCCGCGUGAGUGAUGAAGGUCUUCGGAUCGUAAAACUCUGUUAUUAGGGAAGAACAAAUGUGUAAGUAACUAUGCACGUCUUGACGGUACCUAAUCAGAAAGCCACGGCUAACUACGUG
rnacentral:rRNA from 1 species